rnacentral:rRNA from 1 species
GACGAACGCUGGCGGCGUGCUUAACACAUGCAAGUCGAACGGAAAGGCCCUGCUUUUGUGGGGUGCUCGAGUGGCGAACGGGUGAGUAACACGUGAGUAACCUGCCCUUGACUUUGGGAUAACUUCAGGAAACUGGGGCUAAUACCGGAUAGGAGCUCCUGCUGCAUGGUGGGGGUUGGAAAGUUUCGGCGGUUGGGGAUGGACUCGCGGCUUAUCAGCUUGUUGGUGGGGUAGUGGCUUACCAAGGCUUUGACGGGUAGCCGGCCUGAGAGGGUGACCGGGCGGAGUGGGAUGGAGGGACUGCCGAGCGCACGAGGGGAGGAACGGGCGGGGGAGGGGGAGCAAGGGGCUGGGGGCGCAUCCAGAUACGGCGCGGGCGGAAGGAGGGCUGGAGGGUGGGAAAAAGCAAUCGCCUGUGACGAAGGGGGAGGCAACGGAAUGGGUACAGAGACACCGCCGAGCCACAGC